GAUGAAGAACGCAGCGAAAUGCGAUACUUGGUGUGAAUUGCAGAAUCCCGUGAACCAUCGAGUCUUUGAACGCAAGUUGCGCCCGAAGCCAUUAGGCCGAGGGCACGCCUGCCUGGGUGUCACACGUCGUUGCCCCCCCAUCUACUCCUUCGGGAUUGCGGGGGGCGGAUGAUGGCCUCCCGUGCGCCUCGUCGCGCGGUUGGCAUAAAUGCCAAGUCCUCGGCGACGCACGCCACGACAAUCGGUGGUUGCGAAACCUCGGUUGCCCGUCGUGUGCGGUCGUCGCGCAUCGAGGGCUCGAAAAAAUUGCCGGGCUCCGGCUCGGCUUUCAACGCGACCCCAAGUCAGGCGGGGUUACCCGCUGAAUUUAAGCAUAUCAAUAAGCGGAGGA
rnacentral:misc_RNA from 1 species